AGAAAGGUGUUUAUCUCUUAUCUGUUUUCAUGGAACACUUGCUUGAACCCUGCUAAAGACACACAAUCAUACUGAUGGACAACUGUAGUGUUUGAAAUGAGAGGUACACAGAGUCACAUCCAGCUUUUCUGGGACCCAAACUCAAGACCUCAUAAUGAGCAUCACAGAAGGCCCAUUCAGCCCAAGCUAUACAGUGGACUCCUUUAAAAAGCCAACCAACAAUAAUAAAUAGUGCUUGCCUUCCACUCUG
rnacentral:lncRNA from 1 species